rnacentral:pre_miRNA from 1 species
AUCAGAUCCUAAGACUUGUUGGCCUAUGGCCUUUUUAAAGAAAAUAUACUUUAUAAAGGCCAUAGGCCAACAUGUCUUAGGAUCUGAUAAU